UAGUAAAUGCUGUUUGCAGUCGAGUAUCAUGGAAUCACAGCAAAGUACACUGGUAGCAGGGAUAAAGAAAACCUUGAACUAACCAAUGAAUUAAGGAGAAUAAGAGAACAGACACUACGGAGAGAAAAGAGAAGUGAGUCUGGUCUUUCAUCCUCUUAUCUGGGCAUCAGACGGAGGAGAGGAAUCCAGAGAGAGGGGGAACGGAUGAUAACAGGGUGCUCAUUCCUGUUUAACACCAUUCUACCCGGAACAGACUGCAACAUAUGGCCGGCAUCGUCAUUGGGACUGCUGCGUUACAUUGGGAUUGUGUAAAUGGUAUACACGAUGAGUGUGUGUUGCCAGUGUGUGUGUCUGUGAGCUGAUAAUAGCUACCCUAUUGGUAUUCUGAGGAGGGAGCUCCAGGAUCUCUCUCUGCUCCUACCCAGGAUGGCAUCACAGAGACGGGAUUGUGCUCGCCUGUGGAGAGGCCACUGGAAUAGGGCUGAAACCUAGUGGAAUGAGCUCUACCUUUCUGAAUCCUUUCCUUGUCAGUCAGGAGUCACAGUUCCCACCAUGGGGAAUAAAGACAAACUGCUAGCAUCCAGCACCCCAAUACUGACCACCUCUCUACCCCUGCAAAGUGAACCCCCCCCACCAGGAGCACAACCACCAGUGCUACAAUUGUUCCAGUGAGAGAUUACAACCGCAUCCAAUGGGAUUUAAUGAAAUCUAGAGGUUUGGGGUGUUUAUGCCAGUGUAACAGCUUGUAGAGGACCUUGAGCUUCGGGGGAUGUUUCUCCCUGGAAGGAAAUACUCAACUGUGACGCUCCUCCAGAAAACUACAUGAGAUUGUGGUACACGGGUGGAUUUAUCGGCUGUACAUCCUGUCUAGAUUAUGAGACUUUACUCUGUUCACUUCAAAGUUCUGCGUCUGUUCCAGACCGGUCCCUCAGCAGAACCAAGUAGUUGACAGUCCCCCCUUGGGAAUCCCGCCUUCUGUGGGCUUAUUUUUUAAAGGAACAAUUUCCCCUCCACUUUUCACUUUUUCUGGUCACCCUC